rnacentral:rRNA from 1 species
GAUGAACGCUGGCGGCGUGCCUAAUACAUGCAAGUCGAGCGAACGGACGAGAAGCUUGCUUUUCCGAUGUUAGCGGCGGACGGGUGAGUAACGCGUGGAUAACCUACCUAUAAGACUGGGAUAACUUCGGGAAACCGGAGCUAAUACCGGAUAAUAUUUUGAACCGCAUGGUUCAAAAGUGAAAGACGGUCUUGCUGUCACUUAUAGAUGGAUCCGCGCUGCAUUAGCUAGUUGGUAAGGUAACGGCUUACCAAGGCAACGAUGCAUAGCCGACCUGAGAGGGUGAUCGGCCACACUGGAACUGAGACACGGUCCAGACUCCUACGGGAGGCAGCAGUAGGGAAUCUUCCGCAAUGGGCGAAAGCCUGACGGAGCAACGCCGCGUGAGUGAUGAAGGUCUUCGGAUCGUAAAACUCUGUUAUUAGGGAAGAACAUAUGUGUAAGUAACUGUGCACAUCUUGACGGUACCUAAUCAGAAAGCCACGGCUAACUACGUG